GGAAUUUUGGGCAAUGGGCGAAAGCCUGACCCAGCAACGCCGCGUGAAGGAUGAAGUAUUGCGGUAUGUAAACUUCGAAAGAAUGGGAAGAAUAAAUGACGGGACCAUGUAUAAGGUCCGGCUAACUACGUGCCAGCAGCCGCGGUAAUACGUAGGGACCAAGCGUUGUUCGGAUUUCCUGGUCGUAAAGGGCGCGUAGGCGGCAAUUCAAGUCAGCUGUGAAAUCUCUGGGCUUAACCCAGAACGGCCAGCUGAUACUGCUUUGCUAGAGUGCAGAAGGGGCAAUCGGAAUUCUUGGUGUAGCGGUGAAAUGCGUAGAUAUCAAGAGGAACACCUGAGGUGAAGACGGGUUGCUGGGCUGACACUGACGCUGAGGCGCGAAAGCCAGGGGAGCAAA
rnacentral:rRNA from 1 species